UACAGAGGGGGCAAGCGUUGUCCGGAAUUACUGGGCGUAAAGGGCGCGUAGGCGGUUUCGUAAGUCCUGUGUGAAAUCCCCCGGCUCAACUGGGGAACUGCACAGGAAACUGCGAGGCUUGAGUUCGGGAGAGGGAAGCGGAAUUCCGGGUGUAGCGGUGAAAUGCGUAGAUAUUCGGAGGAACACCAGUGGCGAAGGCGGCUCACUGGCUCGGUACUGACGCUGAGGUGCGAAAGCGUGGGGAGCAAACAGGG
rnacentral:rRNA from 1 species